CGCCCCGCCCCGUCCCGCCCACCGCGCGAGAAACUCCUGCGCCCCGCCCCCGGGUGUCCCCGCGUGAGUCACCUGGGCAUUUCGGAAGCUGGCCCACGUCACAUCCAUGUGGAAAUCGCGGUGAUGGGAACUGGAAAUGAAAUAGGUUCUUUUUUUCUCAGCCGUUUUUCUGCAGAAAAUCACCAACUGUGGAGAACAAGAAGGGAAAUAAUAAAGAAAGAAAACCCUAAAAACCACCCCGGCGUCCGGGACCUCAGGCUUCGGGCCGGGUUUGAAACGCCGGGGCUGUGCACGUGAUGAGCUCGUAGGGGAGCGCCGUGCUCUGGGCCCCGGCGGGGAUUUCGAGAACAAGAAGCGGUCACGGCCCUCGGUCCCCACGCCAGCGUUCCUGCCACCCGGACCCCGCGCUGGUGGGGUGCAGGUCUGAAGUGAGUCCUGAGGCCCCAGAGCCUUGACAUUUGCAGGGGCAAAACCAACCUUAGGUGACGUUAAGAAUCAGAGCAACUAUCAACCCUGUCCUGCACUUAAUUGCCCCUUCUUCAGUUCUGCACACCGGUGCCCAGGUGAUGCCAACGUUCAGGAUCGUGCUCUGCUGCUGCAAAGGAAGAUCCAUAUUAAACAUAUCUUAAACUAGCCUCUUGUAAGUAUGGCAGGGUAGCUUUGAAUCCUGCCGCAAAUUUUUUUUAAAUUUUUUUAAUGUUUAUUUUUGAGAGAGAGAGAGAGAGAGAGAGAGAGAGAGAGA